GCAAAAUAUAGUUCAUGAAGAUAUAACUAUGAAAAAAAUUAAAAGGAAUUUGUCUGUUGUCAACUUUUAAAUACUUUUUCAGAAUGAACAUGUUUCUGGAAAAAGAAAUGGAAAAGAUAGAAAAUGAAUUAUUUAUUUGGAAAUGGAAAUAUGAAGAACUGAGACAAACCAAGCUGGAAGGCCUGAAACAGGUAAUAUAUUCAACAGCUGAUUUUCCAGGCUUCCCUGGUAAUGAAUUGCCACCAAAGAAUUAUCUCCUGCUCAAGGUAAGAGGUCUGAAUACAUCAGUCUGCUCUUUUUUUGAAUUAUAAAUCACAAGGAAAAAGAGUCCUGAUUAUUUUUUCAGAAUUUUCAGAAUUGAAACU
rnacentral:lncRNA from 1 species